CUAAAAUGUUCCACUGCAGAAGAAAGUAACAUUUUUCUGAACUUAACAUGCUACAAACUGUCCAUUUAUAUUAAUUUUUAUUUCUUAGCUUUAUCCUUAUCACCUCCUAGUUACUGGUAAUUACCGCCUGCCUCCAGAUGUUGACAGGUGUCAUUUAGAACGUCACCUUUCAAAUGAAGAAUUCCAAGCUAUAUUCCAUAUGUCUCGAUUAGAAUUUUAUCGUUUACCCGAAUGGCGAAGGAAUGAUUUGAAGAAAAGAGCUAAGCUAUUUUAAAUUGACAUUUUUAGUAUGGCAAUAAAAUUGCCGGAAACUUUGUUGUAAAUUUUGAACCAAAAAGAGGUGCUUUUAUACUGCUUUUCCCUUGUUACUAGUUUGAAACAUUCAGCUGCAAUCUAGCAACAUUUAAAUUAAAACAACCUGGAAGGAAAAUAUUAUUUUUAACUUUAAUAAGUGUUAGCUUCCAGAGCUAUUGAUAUUAUUUGACAAUGAAGAUUAUGUACUUCAUGACAGUCAUUUUGUAUAAAUUGCUUAUAAUGUGUUUUAAGCUAAUAAAAUAUUCCUUAUUUUAUAAUUGGAUUUCAUAUGUGUGCUGUGAUUAUCAUAAAAAUAUUUUAGCAUAAGUUUGUUUUUAUAAUUUUAUUGUACAUAUAGCAUUCUGUGUUUUAUAUCUUUUUAUAGCUUUCCUAGUUUAGCACAUGAGUUCCUGAAAUGUUUUCUAUUUUGCAUUGCUGUAGUCUCAUUUCAAAAGCAUGUAAUGCAGAGAUGAAAUAAUGUGCUAUACUGAAUCUCUAAUUCAUGAAAUAAAAAAUUAAUUUUUCUUCUCAGCCAGUGAAACACCUGUGUUUAAAAAUGAAAGGCAUAAAAUAAAUUUGAUAAUUUCUUUAAAAAUUAGAAAUUGCAUAUUCUGUUUUUGUAACAUUUCCAUUUUACAUUUUCAUAGAUAUAAAAAAUUUAUAUUCAUUUUCAUGUUUUGAAAAGCUCUUCUUCUAUACUGCUCUUAUUUUAUUUGCAUUUCAAAGCAAAACUAUGUUGUGUGAAAGGAGUAGCAUGACUGUAGAAAGAACUGCUCAAGACUUAGUGCCUGUUUGUAGCCUUGCAGCUUGGCAUGUCUCUUCCUCACUUAGUCAUUAUGUACUCCGUCCAGUUUCCCUUUCACAUAAAGGUGCUGAAAAAUUUGGGCAGUUUCUCUUUUUCUGUAUUUAAAAUUUUAACAAGCCAGUCUUACAUAGUGAAAUUGAAAUUUUCAAAGGUAUUAUUUGAGUAAGUUAGACAAGAAUAUGUAUUUGAUUAUAUGUAUGUAUCAUGUUCUUGAUUCAAAAUUAGUAUGAUAAAAAAUCAUUUUUAAUUUAUUAAACGAAAAUCACUAUUAUGAUUAUAUGAAAAUUACUUGGAGUAAGAACAAAAUUUUAUGUAUAAUUGUGUGCAACUUAAGUCUCAUUCAUUCAGUACUUUUUAACCUUGAAUUGUCAUUUCUGAAGAGGGAUAUUUGUACCAUAUACUCUAUUGUACUGUGUAUGUGGUUAUUAACUUGUGUGUACUAUAUUGCUAAUAUUGAUAAACUUGCUGUCAUUGGGAUGAAUACGUUGUUUUCAUACGAAAAAAAUUGUAUAAUGAAAGUAGUGUAUUUAACUAAAGGAUAUAUAAAAUUCAAAAGUAUUAAUUUAUCUUGGUUAGUUUUGCUUUGAUUUAAAAAAGUGCAAAAUACAAAAUUUAAUCUCGAGAAAAUGAUUUUUUAUUAUCAAAAUUUGUAAUUUCUGAUAAAAAAAUCGAAAUUUCAUUUUUUAAUGAGUGACUCGUAUCAUAAUAUGAUGUAUUUAAAAAGUCUUAUUUUUAAAAAUGUAUUAAAACUAAUGUAAACCCAAAUUUUGGAGUUUGAAAUUGCAUAAGAUGUAGUUUUAAAAUUAUAAAUGUUUUACCUGUUAUCCAUUUUUUAAGUAUUAUAUUAAAUUGCUGCACAAUCUCGUAAGUAAUUUGAAGUUACUAUUUCGAUUAAUUUUUCAAGCUUCAACAAUGUUUAAGUCUCUUAUUUAUAGAAAAUUGAUAACACUAAAACUGUAAAAAAACAAAUUAAAUACAUUCAAUUAAAUAAAAAUCUAUACUGUGUUUGAUUCAUAUAAAAGGGCUUGACUUAAAAUCAGUACUAGAUGCAUUUUCAUUCAAUUGAUGAAUUUACAUGCUUUUCUUCGUAGUGAUAUUGCUUUUUUAGUAUGGUUAAUUUUUAUUGUUCUGUAUAAAGUUUGUGGUGUUAUUGUAACUUGACUCUAUGAACCAAACCCUGUGAAGAAUGACUAUAUUAUCACGACUGUAUUUAGAAAACAUUAAAUGCAUUCUAUUUAAAA